CCUACGGGAGGCAGCAGUGAGGAAUAUUGGGCAAUGCCCGAAAGGGUGACCCAGCAACGCCGCGUGGAGGAUGAAGGUCGUAAGAUUGUAAACUCCUGUUAGAGGGGACGAAUAACACCGAUCGACUCGGUGCUUGACUGUACCCUCAGAGAAAGCCCCGGCUAACUACGUGCCAGCAGCCGCGGUAAUACGUAGGGGGCAAGCGUUGUCCGGAUUCACUGGGUGUAAAGGGCGCGCAGGCGGGUUAGCAAGUAAGAGGUAAAAUCCUACAGCUUAACUGUAGAACUGCCUUUGAAACUGUUAAUCUUGAGUGCGGAAGAGAGAGACGGAAUUCCAGGUGUAGCGGUGAAAUGCGUAGAUAUCUGGAAGACCACCAGUUGCGAGGGCGGUCUCUUGGUCCGUUACUGACGCUCAGGCGCGAAAGCGUGGGGAGCAAACAGGAUUAGAUACCCGUGUAGU
rnacentral:rRNA from 1 species